UACGUAGGCAGCAAGCGUUGUUCGGAAUUACUGGGCGUAAAGAGUGUGUAGGCGGUGUUCUAAGUUUGGUGUGAAAUCUCCCGGCUUAACUGGGAGGGUGCGCCGAAAACUGGAAUGCUAGAGUAUGGGAGAGGUAAGCGGAAUUCCUGGUGUAGCGGUGAAAUGCGUAGAUAUCAGGAGGAACACCUGUGGUGUAGACAGCUUACUGGACCAUCACUGACGCUGAGACACGAAAGCGUGGGUAGCAAACAGG
rnacentral:rRNA from 1 species